GGGGCUGUAGCUCAGUGGUAGAGUGCUUGCCUCGAAUGUGUAAGGCCCUGGGUUCGAUCCCCAGCAGCACAU
rfam:Ictidomys tridecemlineatus contig054360, whole genome shotgun sequence.